AUGCAAAAAAGCAAAAUGGCUGUCUCAGGAGGCCUUACAAAUAGCUGUGAAAAGAAGAGAGGUGAAAAGGAAAGAUAUAAGCAUCUGAAUGCAGAGUUCCAAAGAACAGCAAGAAGAGAUACGAAAGCCUUCUUCAGUGAUCAAUGCAAAGAAAUAGAGGAAAAGAACAGAAUGGGAAAGACUAGAGAUGUCUUCAAGAAAAUUAGAGAUACCAAGGGAACAUUUCAUGCAAUGAUGGGCUUGAUAAAGGACAGAAAUGGUCUGGACCUAACAGAAGCAGAAGAUAUUAAGAAGAGGUGGCAAGAAUACACAGAAGAACUGUACAAAAAAGAUCUUCAUGACCCAGAUAAUCACAAUGGUGUGUUCACUAAUCUAGAGCCAGACAUCCUGGAAUGUGAAGUCAAGUGGGCCUUGGAAAGAAUCGCUGCGAACAAAGCUAGUGGAGGUGAUGGCAUUCCAGUUGAGCUGUUUCAAAUCCUGAAAGAUGAUGCUGUGAAAGUGCUGCACUCAAUAUGCCAGCAAAUUUGGAAAACUCAGCAGUGGCCACAGGACUGGAAAAGGUCAGUUUUCAUUCCAAUUCCAAAGAAAGACAAUGCCAAAGAAUGCUCAAACUACCACACAAUUGCACUCAUCUCACAUGCUAGUAAAGUAAUGCUCAAAUUUCUCCAAGCCAGGCUUCAGCAAUACGUGAACCAGGAACUUCCUGACGUUCAAGCUGGUUUUAGAAAAGGCAGAGGAACCAGAGAUCAAAUUGCCAACAACUGCUGGAUCAUCAAAAAAGCAAGAGAGUUCCAGAAAAACAUCUAUUUCUGCUUUAUUGGCUAUGCCAAAGCCUUUGAAUGUGUGGAUCACUAUAAACUGUGGAAAAUUCUGAAAGACAUGGGAAUACCAGACCACCUGACCUGCCUCUUGAGAAAUCUGUAUGCUGAUGAGGAAGCAACAGUUAGAACUGGACAUGGAACCACAGACUGGUUCCAAAUAGGAAAAGGAGUACGUCAAGGCUGUAUAUUGUCACCCUGCUUAUUUAACUUCUAUGCAGAGUACAUCAUGAGAAACGCUGGGCUGGAAGAAGCACAAACUGGAAUCAAGAUUGCCAGGAGAAAUAUCAAUCACCUCAGAUAUGCAGAUGACACCACCCUUAUGGCAGAAAGUGAAGAGGAACUAAAAAGCCUCUUGAUUAAAGUGAAAGUGGAGAGUGAAAAAGUUGGCCUAAAGCUCAACUUUCAGAAAACGAAGAUCAUGGCAUCUUGUCCCAUCACUUCAUGGGAAGUAGAUGGGGAAACAGUGGAAACAGUGUCAGACUUUAUUUUUUUUGGCUCCAAAAUCACUGCAGAUGGUGACCUCAGCCAUGAAAUUAAAAGAUGCUUACUCCUUCGAAGACAAGUUUUGACCAACCUAGAUAGCAUUUUCAAAAGCAGAGACAUUACUUUGCUGACUAAGGUCUGUCUAGUCAAGGCUAUGGUUUUUCCUGUGGUCAUGUAUAGAUGUGAGAAUUGGACUAUGAAGAAGGCCUAG
rnacentral:lncRNA from 1 species